rnacentral:rRNA from 1 species
UACGCCUACGGGGCGCAGCAGUGAGGAAUAUUGGUCAAUGGGCGGGAGCCUGAACCAGCCAAGCCGCGUGAGGGAAGAAGGUACAGCGUAUCGUAAACCUCUUUUGUCAGGGAACAAAGGCGGGGACUAGUCCCCGGAUGAGGGUACCUGAAGAAAAAGCAUCGGCUAACUCCGUGCCAGCAGCCGCGGUAAUACGGAGGAUGCGAGCGUUAUCCGGAGUUAUUGGGUGUAAAGGGUGCGUAGACGGGAAAGCAAGUUAGUUGUGAAAUCCCUCGGCUUAACUGAGGAACUGCAACUAAAACUAC